AUCGGUGUCAGUAACUGGGAACCAUGCACUGGAAACGAGAAGAACUCUGAACUUGGCCAUUUAGAGGAAGUAAAAGUCGUAACAAGGUUUCCGUAGGUGAACCUGCGGAAGGAUCAUUAUCGAAGAUGCGAACUGAAUAAGUUUGUUGAAAAGAUAUUCCGACUGACCACUAAGUCUCCCGUAACGUAUGUUUUCAUCGUUACAUUGGUAUUUAGAGAUCGGACUCUCUAUGUUUUCUUGAUGUUUGAUUAUUUGGCUCUACGAUUAUCCGUGUUCUCAGGAAUGCAAUUAUCAUUAGUUGAAUGUCAUUUAUCGUCAUGUAAAAUGUUAGUAAAUAGUUGUUUUCCAAAACGAUUGUUUACCGGAGUUUAACGAGUUAGCCCAAUAAGGUGGAGUAACCGUCCGACACUGUCUACUCAUAUUUAUUUUAAGUAUUUGUAAUUUUAAUUAAUUACGUACGGUAUCCAUAUGGCGUUGCACCAUUGCGUUACUUGAAUCGGUGGAAACACCAUUGCGACAAACACAACUCUAUGCGGUGGAUCACUCGGCUCGUAUAUCGAUGAAGAGCGUAGCUAGCUACGUUAACUAAUGUGAAUUGCAGAACACAUUGAUCAUUGAAAUCUUGAACGCACAUUGCGGCUAAGCUUUACGGCUUAGCCACGUCUGUCUCAGGGUCGUCGAACAAUACUUAACGCAGUUAUUUUUCGGAAUAAUUUUGCGGCUUGGACGUACGAUUUUUCCAUUUCGUGGAACGCUAUCGACGUUUUAAAUUCAUAAUUCGUUAAUCGUAUUAUCGCAUCGUUUUCCUUAACCGGUUUUCGAUUCGACUUGCGACGGAUUGGUUACAUUAGUUUAUCUAUAGUAGUCUUCGGUUUUUCUGAUGUCAUUAUUACAAUGGCGUUGAAUGUAUUUGUCGCAAUAUUCUAUUUUAUUGUAAAAUGAAUGUUAUUUCUAUGCAUAGACUAGUGUUUCCAUUACAUACGUUGCGGUUGAUACAAUUUGAUUAUUUAUAAUCUUUGCGUAUGCGUAUUGGUAUUUGAUUUCUAAUUUCGAUUAUUUAUAAUCAAGAUUGCGAAUGUCUUGUAGCCUAGUUGUUAUAAGCACUUUUCGAAUUCGACCUGAGAUCAGACGGGACUACCCGCUGAAUUUAAGCAUAUUAGUAAGCGGAGGAAAAGAAACUAACAAGGAUUCCCCUAGUAACGGCGAGUGAAGCGGGAAAAGCCCAGCACUGAAUCCCUUGAGAUUUUCUCUAUGGGAACUGUAGUGUAUAGGACGGCCUUUGAUUUAACAGGGUAGCGUUUAAGUCCUCCUGAUCGAGGCUUCUGAUCCCAUAGAGGGUGUCAGGCCUGUAUAGGCCCUAUCGUUAAGUCUCUGUGUGUUCCUCGGAGUCGGGUUGUUUGAGAAUGCAGCCCAAAGUGGGUGGUAAACUCCAUCUAAGGCUAAAUAUUGAUACGAGUCCGAUAG
rnacentral:sRNA from 1 species